rnacentral:misc_RNA from 1 species
CCGAAAUUAUUAUUCUUAGCCAUAUACAGAACAAUCUCGGAGUGUACAGUACGAACGAAAAUGUUUUUCAAUUUCCACAUAUUUGGGUGGCUUAAACUAUGUUUUCUAUUGGACUUUAUCUUCCUCCAAUUUUAAAGAAAAUAACUUAUGUACCAAACAUAGGGAAAACAUUUUCAAAACUCUCUUACAACCCUCACCCCGCCUUCGGCACGAACCAACCCAACGUCCUGACCCCAACUCAGGGCUCAAUCUUCGAUCAAUGACUCUCUUGCAUCACCUACACGGACUCCUGCAACACCUGGAGAAGCAGAAAAAGCUUAAGAGCGCACUAGAUCUCCAUCGAUUGUAGCCCGGCUGAGGCUUUAGAUUUCUUUUUUCCUUUCCUAUUUCCGUUUCUAUUUUCUCUUAUUUUUGGCUUUUCAUCUACAGUAGGUUGUGUGCUUUGCAGAUGUUGAUGAAUGGCACCUAAUGGAUCUGACUGGAAAGCAGGAUGAUUAAUAACUGCUUGUAAUUGAUUGUCUUCCUUCAACACUAAAUUUUUCCUAGUUUUACUUUUCAACUUGAACUCUGCAGGUUUUGGUUGCUGAGAGGCUUUCAAGUCGGGGAGAAACUCUGUAAGUGUAGAAAGAUCAUAUGCCUUCAAUUUCUUUUGCCUGCUUCUUACUUUCUUCUUCUUAGCAAUAGCCUUGUUGGUAGAUAACGAAGCAACUGUCUGUCUAACCUUAGCAUAGAAGUCCAGCUUCUUCUCAAAUUUACGUUCAGCUCGAGCGGCAGCAUCUCCACGUGAUGUUGUCUUCCCCAUGCUUCAAAGGGCAGCGGCCUUUGCUGUAAAAACACAGUGAAAACUCAGGAAGGAAUAAGAACUCUAACUGAUGAAGACGGGCCUAAUUUUGUAUCCGGGUAACUGGUUGUAUUAGGCCUGGAACUG